GAUGAACGCUGGCGGCGUGCCUAAUACAUGCAAGUCGAGCGAACGGACGAGAAGCUUGCUUCUCUGAUAUUAGCGGCGGACGGGUGAGUAACACGUGGAUAACCUACCUAUAAGACUGGGAUAACUUCGGGAAACCGUAGCUAAUACCGGAUAAUAUUUUGAACCGCAUGGUUCAAAAGUGAAAGACGGUUUUGCUGUCACUUAUAGAUGGAUCCGCGCUGCAUUAGCUAGUUGGUAAGGUAACGGCUUACCAAGGCAACGAUGCAUAGCCGACCUGAGAGGGUGAUCGGCCACACUGGAACUGAGACACGGUCCAGACUCCUACGGGAGGCAGCAGUAGGGAAUCUUCCGCAAUGGGCGAAAGCCUGACGGAGCAACGCCGCGUGAGUGAUGAAGGUCUUCGGAUCGUAAAACUCUGUUAUUAGGGAAGAACAUAUGUGUAAGUAACUGUGCGCAUCUUGACGGUACCUAAUCAGAAAGCCACGGCUAACUACGUG
rnacentral:rRNA from 1 species